CACACACACACUGCAUUUAAUAUACAUAUGUUUUUAUUUUUUUAAAUAAUUAAUAAAUGGCAGAUUGUUUUUGCUGUCACUGUUAACUUAAGGAAUAAUAUUAUUUUGUUUAAAGGGUACUGUGGACACCCACAUAUUGUGUGCAAUGUGUAGGUUACACCUAGUUAUACUGAGUGGGUUUAUAUUUUCCUAUCCUCCUUCAGUUUUUUUUUUGUUUUUUUUAACUGCUCUGUAAGGAUACCUUCGCUGCUUCUUUCCAACAUACAGUGUUUCCCCUGUUUGUCCUAAUGAUACAGCUGUAUGUAACUUCAUCGUUUGGGUUCAACUGCUAGCUUUACUUCAUCGCUUGGUAGUUAACUGCUAGCUUUUUACAGCAGAAGGCUGACAGUUGAACUACAUCUCACAGAAAGCACUGUUGUGGAGAAGCUAAUGGGUACAGUCCCAGCACUGCAAGAAGGUUAAAGGGAUUCUAUAGUGCCAGGAAAUCAAACCCAUUUUCCUGGCACUAUAGGCUCCUGGAGUGCCCCCCUCCUGCGGGGCUCAAGGGGAUAAAACCCCUUCAGCCAGUUACCUGAAUCCAGUGCCGAUGCCUCUCAGCACUGGGUCAAGCACCGCCCACGCUCCUCCCUCGCUGACGUCAGACGGCGGGGGAGACCUAAUGUUUUUAUAUGGGGAAAAUUUGAUGCUGGAGGCCCGUUAGGACGCCCAGCGUCAGAUAACGGACCAAUAGUCUGUUUGGGUUCCGGAAGCCCUCUAGUGGCUGUCUGUUAGACAGUCACAGAGGGCAGGCUUAGAGCUGCAAUGUAAACAGCACUAAGUGCAAAAGGGUCACAGCACACAGACUACUUUAAUUAGCUGAGGUGGUCUGGGCUGAAUUUCAUCCUAGUUUGGGCAGAAAUUGUUGAGUCUGGGAAUUUAUAGGAAAAGCAGUGAACAAAGUUUACAUUUUUUUAUUAUUUUUCAAUUAAUUUUCACAUAUAAACUAGUAAAUUAAUUUUAAAAAAAUAAUGGGAUUUCUGAACAGUGUCACAUAAGAUACUUUUAUAAGAUAAGACAAUUUCACUCUCUUGGCAGGAAUUCUACCUACUAAGAGCAACGACUUAUAGUAUGAGUUAUUACAUGAAAUCAUCAGAAAAUCAGUUUGUUUUUUUGGUUUUUUUUUUUAAAUUCCAGCUUUUCAUCUGAGACAGAUCCUGACUUGAUUAUAGCUUUGCAUGUGAUAUUUUAUAUAAAAAUGGUACUGCAUUAAAUAAAUUAUUUUUGUUACAAUUCAUGUUAAUGCUUCAAUUCUUUGGGCCAGAAUAACAUAUGUUUUCCAGUUUUUGUAGAGAGCAUCAAUGUUUCGCUGAGAAAAUUCUUAAACAAUCUGAUUUGAGUAUCAUUAUAAACAUUCCUAUUAAACAUAAUAUUUCAUACUGUAAUUAGCUUUUCUUCUUCAGUUGCCUUCCACCCAAGGCUUCCUUUCCAUGGGCUGUUUUUGUCCUUGAUGCCAAAAAUACACAAAAAAAUUUAAUUUAACAACAUCCGCAAUAUUAUUCAACCGUAAAAGAAAUCUAAAUCUAUGUGACCAUCGACUGGCAAAAAAUUGAAGAAUAAUUGGUACAAGGUGCCUAGUGAUCUAAGACUUUAAAGGUCACGGCAAGUGUACUUGUUAAUAUAUAAUAAAAAAAGGAUCUGCUAAACAGUACAGCAAAAAAAAUCUAUAAGUCGGUGCAGAAGGUCAAUGAGCUGCUAAAAGUAUAUAGAAAUGUGUGCUUUGAUGAUUCAUCUCCUCUGUGUUUCUUAACCUACCGUAUGGUUUUCAGUGACCUGCUGGUAUGGUUCUUAAAACUUUUUUACAGUCUCCUCAUUGUGCUAAGAUAGGUCUCAUGCCUAUGUUGUAGCAUUGUCAGUGGUUGAUUUUUGCAUCAACUAAUAAAACACUUG